UACGUAGGGUGCGAGCGUUAAUCGGAAUUACUGGGCGUAAAGCGUGCGCAGGCGGCGCGUUAAGACAGGUGUGAAAGCCCCGAGCUUAACUUGGGAAUUGCGCUUGUGACUGGCGUGCUGGAGUGUGGCAGAGGGAGGUGGAAUUCCACGUGUAGCAGUGAAAUGCGUAGAGAUGUGGAGGAACACCGGUGGCGAAGGCGGGUCUCUGGGCCACUACUGACGCUGAGGAGCGAAAGCGUGGGGAGCGAACAGG
rnacentral:rRNA from 1 species